AGACAUUACACAGAGGCUGCAUAAUGCUACUGCUGUGACGAGGAUUUUGGAGGCCAACUCUAUAGACCUGACACAGAGGCUGGAAUCUCUACAAGUGUCAUAUGACAACGCCACUGUUGUCAUUAGGACGUUGGAGGCCAACCUUACAGAUGUACAGGAAGAAGCUUGGGAGAAGUUUUCAGCUGGCUGGAAGUAUUUCAAAGGGAGUUACUACUACUUCUCCACUGAUGUGAUGAACUGGACUGAUAGCAGAGAUGCCUGUGUGACUAUGGGAGGACACCUGGUUAUCCUGAACAGUCAAGCAGAAAUGGAUUUCAUUAAGGACAAAGGACAGAUGUUCUGGAUUGGCCUAACUGAUAUUGAAGAAGAAGACACUUUUCACUGGGUAGACGGGACAUUCUUCAAUAAAACCACACUGCCGUGGUUGAAAAACCAACCAGACAACUGGGAAGACGAGGACUGUGUUGUGAUUUCUAGUCCAGAAAAAACGCUUAAUGAUGCUAAGUGUCAUGAGCAACGUUAUCGAAUCUGUGAAAGUUGAAGUUGUAGACCCUGAGAUGGCAGUGUCCUAAGAUGCCAUACCAUGAAUCCGGCGACCAGGGCUCGAGUAUGGCCUUAAGUAAUUUCCUUAUCCUUCCCCAUCUCGCUCACCCACUAUAUCAAUAGAGCAAUUAAUCAAUCAAUCAAUCAACCAGAAAACUGUUGUUCCAUGUUUUGCAGCGCAUAAACAAUA